CCUACGGGCGGCAGCAGUGGGGAAUAUUGGGCAAUGGGCGCAAGCCUGACCCAGCAACGCCGCGUGAAGGAAGAAGGCUUUCGGGUUGUACAGCUCUGUCCUCAAGGAAGAUAAUGACGGUACUUGAGGAGGAAUCCCCGGCUAACUACGUGCCAGCAGCCGCGGUAAUACGUAGGGGGCUAGCGUUAUCCGGAAUUACUGGGCGUAAAGGGUGCGUAGGUGGUUUCUUAAGUCAGAGGUGAAAGGCUACGGCUCAACCGUAGUAAGCCUUUGAAACUGGGGAACUUGAGUGCAGGAGAGGAGAGUGGAAUUCCUAGUGUAGCGGUGAAAUGCGUAGAUAUUAGGAGGAACACCAGUUGCGAAGGCGGCUCUCUGGACUGUAACUGACACUGAGGCACGAAAGCGUGGGGAGCAAACAGGAUUAGAUACCCGUGUAGUC
rnacentral:rRNA from 1 species